UGGUUAUAGCUAAAUAAAUUGUCGAGAAGUUAACUGGAUGAUUGUCGUGAGAUCUUGCGAUCCCUGUCGGCGAAUCUGCCUUCCAAGCUUCCCACACUU